UACGAAGGGGGCUAGCGUUGUUCGGAUUUAUUGGGCGUAAAGAGCGUGUAGGCGGCCAGAUAGGUCGGUUGUGAAAACUGGAGGCUCAACCUCCAGACGUCGACCGAAACCCUCUGGCUAGAGUCCGGAAGAGGAGAAUGGAGUUCCUGGUGUAGCGGUGAAAUGCGCAGAUAUCAGGAAGAACACCCGUGGCGAAGGCGGUUCUCUGGGACGGUACUGACGCUGAGACGCGAAAGCGUGGGGAGCGAACAGG
rnacentral:rRNA from 1 species